CGCUAUCACUCCUACGGGAGGCAGCAGUGGGGGAAUAUUGCACAAUGGGGGAAACCCUGAUGCAGCCAUGCCGCGUGUGUUGAAGAAGGCCUUCGGGUUGUUAAAGCACUUUCAGUAGGGAGGAAGGUAGUGUAGUUAACACCUGCAUUAUUUGACGUUACCUACAGAAGAAGCACCGGCUAACUCCGUGCCAGCAGCCGCGGUAAUACGGAGGGUGCGAGCGUUAAUCGGAAUUACUGGGCGUAAAGCGCAUGCAGGCGGCCUGUUAAGUCAGAUGUGAAAGCCCGGGGCUUAACCUCGGAAUUGCAUUUGAAACUGGCAGGCUAGAGUCUUGUAGAGGGGGUAGAAUUUCAGGUGUAGCGGUGAAAUGCGUAGAGAUCUGAAGGAAUACCAGUGGCGAAGGCGGCCCCCUGGACAAAGACUGACGCUCAGAUGCGAAAGCGUGGGGAGCAAACAGGAUUAGAUACCCUGGUAG
rnacentral:rRNA from 1 species